AGCCCUGCUGUCAAUACAUCUUUUGAAAACCUGUUCACAUUGAAGGCACUUUAUUUUAGAAACCAAGCCACUACUUUUCUGAGUAUUAUCAUUCUUAUCUAAUUUCUGAAAUAUGAAAGAUACCAAAUUUGAGAAAUCAUUUUGAAAUAUGUUCCUGAAUGUCAUAUCUUGGUUUUUUACACGACCGCAAAAAAAUUUUUGUGGUCGUAUAUUGGUAUGACGUUGGCGUCGUCGUCCGGCGUCGUCCAAAGACACAUUGGUUUUCGCACUCUUACUUUAGUUUAAGUGAAUGGAUCUCUAUGAAAUUUUAACACAAGGUUCAAUACUACAAAAGGAAGGUUGGGAUUGAUUUUGGGGAUUAUGGUACCAACAGUAAAGGAAUAAGGGGCCCAAAAGGGGCCAAAAAUAAGCAUUUUUGUAACUUCCAGACAUAACUUGUGUGUUAGUGUAUGGAUCUCUCUGACAUUGUACCACAAGGUUCCAUAUCACAAAAGGAAUGCUGGGAUUGAUUUUGGGGGUAAUUGCCUCAAAUUUUAGGAAUUAGGGGCCAAAAAAGGGGCAAAAAACAAGCAUUUUUCUAGUUUCAUGACAAUUACUUGUGUGUAAGUGUAUGGAUCUUUCUGAAAUUGUACUACAAGGUUCCAUAUCACAAAGGGAAAGCUGGAAUUGAUUUUGGGGGUAAUUGCCGAAAUGUUUAGGAAUUGGGGGCCAAAAAGGGGCCAAAAAUAAGCAUUUUUCUAGUUUCCAGACAAUAACUUGUGUGUAAGUGUAUGGAUCUUUCUGAAAUUGUACUACAAGGUUCCAUAUCACAAAGGGAAAGCUGGAAUUGAGUUUGGGGGUAAUUGCCCUAAACGUUUAGGAAUUUGGGGCCAAAAAGGGGCCAAAAAACAAGCAUUUUUCUAGUUUCCAGACAAUAACUUGUGUUCAAGUGUAUGAAUCUCUCUGAAAUUGUACUGCAAGGUACCAUACCACAAAGGGAAAGCUGGGAUUGAGUUUGGGGGUGAUGAAUCAUAAGGGGGUUCAAAAAAUGGGGGGGGAUUUUUUUUUUCCUUUUUUUUCUUUAACAUUUUCCAUUUUAAAUUGGUUAUUUCUGAUUUAUAUAUAAAAGCAAAUAAUAAUGAUAUGGUUUGAAUAGGCAUACAUGUGAACCUCCCGAUGGGAGUACAAUAAUCCUGUUUUCAGGGGUCUCCUCCCGACCUCCCGUUGAAGAGGAAAAAAUCCCGUGUAUGAAAUUUUUCAUGAAUGAAAAAUUUCUGCCCAACAUAUCAUCUCAGGCAUCUGGUGUAACUGACAUUACUUGAAGUUAUAUUUUACCUGUAAAUCAAUUAACAUGCAUAAUUAUAUGGCUUCACUUGUCAGCUUGGGUGUCAAACAUACUGGUAAUCAACGAUUUUUACCUCAGGCUAACUGCCGUUGUGUAACAAAAACUGUGUAUUUAUUGGGUUACUUCCCUUGAUUUAUCCUGUUUUAAGUUACUUUCCUUUUAAUAAUGAAAAUUUUUAAAAGAAUAUAAAUAAAAUAUAAAUUGAACAAAUAAUCAUAAAAGGAUGGUUAUUAAAUGAUUUUAAAUGUCUUAGGACAAAUAAAAAAAUAAUAAUUUGAAAAUUAUUUGAGGAUUCUAUACUUCCUUUCAAGGCUUUAAUUGAAAUUUAUAUAAUAACUAUGACCCUAAUUUUACAGAUAGAAUGAUUUUCUGAGUUUGCAAAUAAAAACUAUUUGCAAGAGAAAAAAAAUAAAAAUAAAAACUAUUUGCAGAUAGCUAAACAAAUGUUCUGGUUGCAAUGAUUGUUUUACAGAAUAUGAAGUAAAAAAUUUAAAGAACAUACUGGAAAAAAACAAUGUUAGAUUGAACAUGUAGAAUAUAAAGAUGGAGAAAUUUUAUAAGUACAAGGGUACUAUAAACAUAAUAAAUUGGAUGGAAAGUUGAAGAAAACACACUUUAAAAGACCAUUUUUACAGCACACGGUUACAUUUACAACAAAAUUAAUGUCGAUUAAAAACCUCCUGAUCUGAGUCCUAAUCUCCUGACCAAAAUUUCCCAAUCUCCUGAUCUGAGUUUCACAGUCCAUCACAUGUAUGAAUAGGUAAAUUGAAAAUUUUUAAGUUCUUAGACCACUUUCAUUCUGUGUCAGAAACCUAUGCUGUGUCAAAUAUUUAAUUACAAUCCAAAUUCAGUGCUGUAUCAAGCUUGAAUGUUGUGUCCAUACUUGCCCCAAUUGUUCAGGGUUUGACCUCUGCGGUCAUAUCAAGCUGCGCCCCAGCGGAGCAUUUUAUUGUGAAU